UUACGCCGGUUUAUUAACAAUAGAAAACCUCUUAUUGCAUAUAUGUUCCCGCUCGAGUGUUCAUCACUGUUUGGAAACCCUAAAAACUGCCUAUCGAGAGAAGAGAAUUGCCCAAAAUCACUGUCCCCAAAGAGGAAGAUAUUUAGCUAAAAAGAUUCUGUAAUCGAAACAUGUCAGGUGAUUUGGCUACUGAAUGUGAUGACUUCUGAUGCAUCUCCAGCAAUCUAAAUCUACAGUAAUGAAGCUUGCAAGCAAUUUUUUUUUUUUGCAGUUAUUAUAUGUGGACGGGACUCCCAUCAUCUGCUUCAUGGCAAGAUUUCAAGGGUCAUAUGCGGAGGAGAGCUGGUGAUGUGUACUUUGCUGAGGUCACUCGAGGCUGCUUUAGUGAUCUUACUGGAAGUUAUAAGUUAUCCUCGAAUUGUGGACACCACUCUUAUCAUUAGCACUUAUUCAGGCUUUGCGCUGUGGCUGUUUGAUUCAGACUUGAAAAUUAACAAUGGUUCUUCCAAUUCCUAUAUAUGUGCAGAUCGGAGAUGGUUUGAAGAAUGAAGAAGAUUCUAUAGGAAGCUGGUGAUAUGAACCCAUGGUGUCGUCGACUACACCAAUUAUGAUGACAGGAAGUAUGCUUUGUUUGCUCUGGCGUGCAGAGGCUCAUCCAUUGGACUCAUCAUACAUCAUUUGUGUGAUUUCAUUCUCUUGUGCAGACUUUCCGUUUUAAGAAUGAGAACUGCCCUAGACCAAUGUGCUACAAGGCCUACGGAUAUGGAAAGGAUGGCACCCCAAAUUGUGAUGUCCCCGGAUUUGAGAUUCUAUAGGAAGCUGGAUCAUAUGCGGAGAGCUGGUGAUGUGUGCUUUGCCGAGGCCACUCGAGACAGGUUGUGAGUCUUCUUCCUCCUUGUCCACUUCAAAUCUCCCCAUCCAUAAGUUCAUCGUUGAUGAGUAGUAUUGUUUUGGUGUCUUUGCAAGUGAGGAGUACGUUAUUUUCAUGGCGUAUCUUCAGUCAUCCAGACUGGUUCAUCCAUCACACUAUUGUUUAAGCCUCAAUAAAGAACAAGCUACUCCUACUGAAGCAAGCACAAUUAAGCCUGUCUCAUGACAGUCCCAAGGACGCAGAGGUCAACAACAAAACCGCAGUGAAGACAAGGAGAGCAAUCCUCGUUACAUCAUUAUUUAUUCCAGAUCAAGAGAUAAAAGAUGACAAUAAAUUAUUAUAUUGGCUCCUUGCCCAAGCCUUACUGAAGAUCAGUUAAAGACGAAGCUUCUCAAGAUCAGCUUCUUUUGGUUAUAAUUAGCUUUCUUUUGUAAUAGUUUGUUUCCGCUUUUGAAUCUAGUGGCUACUCCACUAACUUGCUCGUUUGUAAUGGCUUUUGUAUGAAUUAUGAUAUAAAGUUAAAA